CCUACGGGGGGCAGCAGUGGGGAAUAUUGCACAAUGGGGGAAACCCUGAUGCAGCAACGCCGCGUGAAGGAAGACGGUUUUCGGAUUGUAAACUUUUGUUCUUAGUGAAGAAUAAUGACGGUAGCUGAGGAUCAAGCCACGGCUAACUACGUGCCAGCAGCCGCGGUAAUACGUAGGUGGCAAGCGUUGUCCGGAAUUUCUGGGUGUAAAGGGAGCGCAGGCGGACAGGCAAGUCAGCUGUGAAAACUACGGGCUUAACUUGUAGACUGCAGUUGAAACUGGUAUUCUUGAGUGAAGUAGAGGUUGGCGGAAUUCCGGGUGUAGCGGUGAAAUGCGUAGAUAUUCGGAAGAACACCGGUGGCGAAGGCAGCCAACUGGGCUGUAACUGACGCUGAGGCUCGAAAGUGUGGGGAGCAAACAGGAUUAGAUACCCCUGUAGUC
rnacentral:rRNA from 1 species